rnacentral:rRNA from 1 species
UAAGGAAUAUUGGACAAUGGAGGCAACUCUGAUCCAGCCAUGCCGCGUGAGGGAAUAAGGCCCUAUGGGUUGUAAACUUCUUUUAGACGGGACAAAACCCCUUUACGUGUAAAGGGUUGAUGGUACUGUCAGAAUAAGCAUCGGCUAACUUCGUGCCAGCAGCCGCGGUAAUACGAAGGAUGCAAGCGUUAUCCGGAAUUAUUGGGUGUAAAGGGUGCGUAGGCGGACUAAUAAGUCAGUGGUGAAAGCCUGCAGCUUAACUGCAGAAUUGCCAUUGAUACGGUUAGUCUUGAGUACAGUUGAGGUAGGCGGAAUGUGUCAUGUAGCGGUGAAAUGCUUAGAUAUGACACAGAACACCGAUUGCGAAGGCAGCUUGCUAAGCUGUAACUGACGCUGAGGCACGAAAGCGUGGGGAGCAAACA